GGCGCCCUCCAGGUCGUCGUCGGCUGCGGUGCGGUGGCGAGGAGGAGGCGAGCGGCGAGGAGGGCUCGACGGCGCGCGGCGGUGCGGCGGCUUGACGCAGCGGUGAGGACGGCUCGACAGCGUGCGGUGGCGAGGAGGAGGUGAGCGGCGGCUGCGUUAAGCCCAUCCUCCUCCUCCUUCCAAGCCUCCUCGACCUCCGCCUCCACGCCCUCCUUCCUCGCGGCACGGUGCGACGGCGAGGUGAAGAGGGGCAGCGGCAAGGCGAAGGUGGAGGCGGCAACGACGGCCCGACGCAGAGAUGGAACACGAAGAAUUCGCUAGCUCCGGAUCUGAGGGUGAACAUAAUGCCAGCCCUAGCGCAUUCUUAAACUUAAAUCAAGAGCAUUCCGAAGGCAGCGAGG